AAUGAAAUGAAAUGAAAUGAAUGAAUAUAUGAAAUCACGACUAAUUCUAACAUGGACCAUUGCCUCAUAUGGUCCAUGAUGGUCGAUCACCUCCAUUACCAUGAAUCUCUGUCUUUCUCACCUCUCUUUCUUUGGCCUCUGUAUCGCAGCAACUCUGAAUCGGAACCCUAACUCACUUCUUCGCUUUAAUUGGAAGAUAUCAUAAGCCUGGCUUCCUGGUUUUUUCUUCCACGGUGUUCAUUCCAUUUCCAAAUUCUCAAUUGAACAUUGAUCGAUUGCUACCAUCAUUUAUGCAAAAACAGUCCUGAAACUUAAACUACCAUGUCUGCCACAUAAUGUAAGGAAGGUAGUUCAAGGAAGAAACAACAAUUAUCGUCUCUCCUAUGAAAGUUAUUGAAGAAAUAUGGCUUUUCCCCUAAAAAGAUUUCCAUGGGACAAUCAGUAGUUUGCCAGUGAGGAAGUAUACCAAUUUCUUUUUGGCAUUCCUCAUUGAAUCAGGAUAAGAAACAUCAUUUGAAUAAAGCACCUAAACUGAAGACUAAGUGCGCGAAACUCAUGGGAGAAAAGGUUGGCGACUGGUUGCUUACGAUCAACCUGACUGAAUUUACAUCUCUUGCUGGUGAAAAGAAAGCAUUGAAACUGUUCAUCUUCUUGCUGAAGUGCUUGGUAUUCGAUGGGGACUGCAAACUGCAAAGGAUUUAAAUUGGCAGACUGUGAGUAUUGUCUCUGAUUUUGACGUUGUUGUUAAUUGUAUCAACUCAAAGGUUCGUGUAACUUCCAUAGAUCAUAUGUUUCAGGACUGCAGAGAUAUGCAUUUCAAGUUUCAAAUACAGUGUUUGUUAAGCGUGGUUUAAAUAAAAGGUCGAAUAUUAGUAACCUUUUGAAAGAUAUGAAUGUAAACAUACAUAUUUCUAGUAAUUUCUAGUAAUAUUUAGACUAUGACCACUAUUUUUCCUUGUGCUCUUCUUCUUGCAAGUUGUAACUAAACUGUAUUACUUAGUACUUAGUAACAAGCAUACAAUUUAUAUUUCUUUA